ACUGUUUGUUUUAAUUCUAUUGGUUUCAAUUCUUUAAUUUGCUUUAAAGUGGUGGAAAUCUGCAAAAAGUGAUAAAGAAGAGAAAAAAACCCAAUAAAAAUAGAUCGCAUGCGUUCCAUUAAACAUAGAGCGAUUGAUUUAGUUUGUGUGUGUGUGUUUUUUUUUUGGAUUUUGGUUCUAUAUUUAGUCACAUUAAAGGCGGAAUUGAACGUGUUGUCUCAUUGAAAAACAAUUCAAAAUAAAAAAUAGCCCAAUGGAAUAGUAGCAAACGUUUUGGUUUUUAUUUCUCUAUUAGUGGUAUGAAUUGAUGUUAUAAUAUUUGAUAAGCAGUUGUUAGAACCGGGCAUACCAGGUUGGAAAUGAAUUCGAGUAAUCAUUAGAAAAUACCAUUGGAUCGCUUGGGUCCAGGCCGACAUGAUGUGGCGGAAUGCCUAAUCGCUCACGCUCGAGCUGUGACAUAGCAGCUGCAGCUGCUGGGUUUGUGUAUAACGGAUACUGAGAUGGAUGCAACCCUCUGUAACAUGAAAUAAAAUCAAACAAUAAUGCGAAAAAUGACGAGACGAAAUCAUGAAGAUGGAACACAAGAUGAAUUCGACUCACGAGUGCACAUACCUCAUUCGAUACAAAUCCAUGUAGUGCGAGUCCAAUCGGGAAGACGCAACGGCUUGUGCUUGUGCUUGUGCCUGUGCUUGAGCUUGAGCUUGAGCUUGGGCCUGGGCCGCCUGAGCAUUCUUCAAAUCUUCCAAUUCCCUGUAGAAUAGAAUGUAUAUUUUGAAAUGAUUCAAUGUGCAAUGGAAAUAGUGGCAAUUCAUUGUGGAUCGAUAGCGUACCUUUCACGUGCAUACAUUGGUCCCAUUGGAUGAUGAUAUGGUGGCACCAUCGAAUCGACAGGGCUAAAUAAACGUUGGAAUUUUGAAAAUUGACAACCGUUAAUGAAUGAAUUCACUUUCGUUGAAUUUUCACGUGUAAUUUAAUUACCUGAAAGCAACAUGUGGUCGUGCAUAUUCUGACAGUUGUCGCAUUGCAGGUGUAUCAAAUGGUUUGAUUUCGGCUUUGAUUUUCGCUUGUUGUGCUGCCGCAGCGGCUUGCUGUUGCUGUUGCUGAUGAGCAGCGGCCGCUUGUUGUUGUUGCUGCUGCUGUUGUUGCUGUUGUUGCUGUUGCUGCUGUUGUUGCUGCUGUAGUUGUUGUUUUACACAUAUCUAAUUAGUUUUUGUUUGACUUUUAAAACGGACAAAGAGAAAAAACCGACAGAAGAAGAAGAAAACUGUUUGUACAAACCUGUUGCUGCACGGCUUGUUGAGCCUGUUGCUGUUGCCUUCUUUCACGUUCCUUUUCAGCCAAUUUACGAUCACGUUCCUCUCGUUUGCGCGCCAAUUUCGAAUCAGCCACCGGCUUGAAUUCCAAAUCCGUUCGAGUACAUGAAUUGUAAUCGCCACGAUCACAACGUCUCACAAAGCUAGAAUUAAAACCAGAAAUGAAACGUGGUGUUUUUAAUUGAGGUUUGCAAUAAAAAGAGAGCACACUUUAUAGCGUAUCAAAGUGAAUUUGAAUUAUUUACAUGGCCGAUUGAGAUCGAUGGCAUUCGGUGUCGUCUGGUUUUGCCUCUGGACUUGGACCACGUGGAAUAUUGUGAGUUGGACUUGGAAUUUCUGGCUCUGGAUCCGGUUCGAUAUCAACAUGAACGGGUUCACUUGAUGAUGGUUGUCUGGAAGAUGGAGAAAAAAAAUUGAUUGAAAAUCUGUGAAAAUUUUUCUCUUUUAAUCGAUAUGAAUUCUCACCUAAUUCCACUGCUAGCCGAAUGUGCAUGCGCUCGCAAUGCUUCCAUAUGACUUUUGCCCGGUGGCAAUGGGAUCGGACUCUCUCCGAACGCUGAAUGAGGUGGAUGUGGAUAUUGAUGAUGUGGCCCACUGAACGAAGUGCUUGCCGGGUUCGAACUGCUGCUCAAAAAAAAGAUAUCACACAUUCCGUUCAAUGAGCAUGUCGCCAAAUUUUGUUCAAUUUUACCUUUGAGUAGUUUUUGGUGUUGGUGGUUUCAUUUUGUCUUUCAUUUGCAGAAGAUUGGCAGCCUUUGUAUCUGGAUGCGGUGAUGGAUCUUCGUGUCGUGUUGCUUGACCGGGAUGAUGUGAUAUGACGGCUGGAUCUAGGCCUGGUCCAGCUGUCGGCGGUUUCAUGUAUUGAAACGGUGCCGGUCCAUACGGAUGAUAUGGAUACGGAGAGUUGAAUGGACUCUGCGAAUAGAACAGAUAUGGGGGAUACCGGUUCGGCGAGUAUGGUGAAUCAGGGAACAAGAGCAUCGGUGAUGGUAUUGGACUUUGACCAAUUAGUGGUAGUGGCACAGGCUGAGGAUGUCGUAAAACUGGCGGCGAAGGACCACUUCGCGGUUGAGGUGUCGCUUGUUGAGGUGGCUGCGGCGUUGAUUGUGACGUCGGAGUUUGUGGAUAAAUUUUAUUCAUCGGACUAUUUGGAGUCAAAAAAGGGGGAAAAAAGUUGAAUAACGCAUCCGAUUUGAAAUGGCAAAAAAAAUGUCCAUUGAAAAUUACCUCUUUUCCGUGAACAGUGGCGACGAAGAGGUUGGAGGAGGCGUCAUGUGUGACUGUCGUUUGAAAAUACCCGUGUUUGGUGUUGAUGCUCCCGGAAGAGCCGACGACGAAUGAUGUGAUAAAUGCAACGGACUGGCUCGUGUCAAACUGGUCGGCGGUUGUGACGGUGAAACUGGCCGAUGUGACGAUGGAUGCGUAAAUUGUACAUUCGGACUCGUUCUACUAAAUGCCGAGCUUGUAUUCGGUUUGUCCAUCGAAGAUGGUAUCUUCUGUGGAGCCUGAACAAAUACGAAGAGGAAUAUUUUGUAUUAGAAAAUGAAAUGGAUUCUGUCUUCAGAAGAAUUGUGCAAUCAUUCGUACCUGUACUGAUGAAAUAGAUCCUCUAGCCGACAAACUCAAUGCAGGCGAUGGACUUGUCGGUGAUCGUCGUCCAUCGACCGGUGGAAUAGCAGUCGAAGGAGAGCUGAUGCUAUAAAAUCAAACAUUUAUUAGUUAGACUUGGCACUUAUAUAUACAAAAAGGGACUGUUUGAAUCGAUAAUUACCUUGAUGCGCUAACCAAUGAUGAGCCAGGCAUUGGUAACAAUGGCGGGCCUAAGUGGCUUGCAUGCGGUGGAGGUAACAAUUGAAUCGGUGUCGUGCUCAUAUUCGGGGGAAGAUGUAAUGGAAGAGAGAGUCGCUCAUGUUCACCACGCGACAAACUUAACGCAGGCGAAAGAAUCUGACUGUUGCUGGACGAUUGCGGAAUUGCUGAUGAAAAUGCUCCACUUCCAGGGUAUCUGUAAACGAAUGGAAAAGAACAUUUUCUCAUUUGCUCAAAUCGAAGAGUUGAACACAUUAUUCAACGAUUAAUUUGAACUUGAUACUCACUGUGGGUGCAAGCCAGAUGCUUCUACGGGUGGACGAUGUAGUGCGGGAUGCACGACCGAAGACGUACUGUGAGGUGGCAUCAAACUGGCCGUUGAACCCAGCAAGUUUAAUGGUUGUACUGCAUCGAUAAUUUGAAAGGAAAAGAACAUUUGAAUCGAUUAGCGAUUGAUCAUUAUUAUCGCGUCAAAUGGAAAAUGAAAAAAAAUACUUUGACGAUUGUACCUUGAAUCGACGAUGAAGUAUUUGGAGGCACUGUAGCUGUUUGUGGUGACGUAACUAAUGAUGGAUGAUUUGGAGGUAGAUGACUUAAUGAUAAUGGAUGCGCUGGCAAUCCGCUUGGGCCAAUCAGCAUUGGAACGGCGCUCGUGUGUGGUGGUAAAUGUGACAUUAAUGCUUCCACAUUCGGUUUUGUAUCCACACCACUUUCAUGCGGUGGCGGUGGAUAUUUACCAGGUGGUCCGUAUGGCAUUCGUUCGCUUGACUCUCUGCUCAUAAGAAGAAAACAAAAUCACAAUCAAUAAAAAAAACGUCACUUUACUUUCGAUAUCAAAUUUACGAACCGUCGUUCGCCUUCAUACCCUUUCACCAGAUUGUCGGCCGAAAAUUGUGAUUUCGAUAGGUUUUCGGGUGGUUUGUAUUUCAUAUCGAUCGCCGGCGGUGUGUAUUUCAAGUCUUGCGGAAGACCUAGCGGCAUGCUAAUUGGUGCACCCGACACUUGUGGAUAUUUCGACAGCAUCGACGUUGGCUCGUAUGGUGAACGAAUAUGUUGAUACGGUUCUGUGUAUGGUGGUCGUUUUAAUGCCACAUUCUCAACGAUUUCAUUCUUUAUUUGAUCAUUUGGAACUGGAUACUUAGCUGCCGGAUUGAUAACUGGGUUGAAGAAAAAUACACAAAAAGACGCAUUCAUUAUUUUCCAUAGAAAAAAAAUCAACAAAAGAAUAGAAAUAAAUAACACAAUUAUUCUUACCCAUA